GGCUCAGGAUGAACGCUAGCGGGAGGCUUAACACAUGCAAGUCGAGGGGCAGCACGAUGUAGCAAUACAUUGGUGGCGACCGGCGCACGGGUGAGUAACGCGUAUGCAACCUACCCUGUACAGGGGGAUAGCCCGGAGAAAUUCGGAUUAAUACCCCAUAAUGAUAUUGGGAGGCAUCUUUUAAUAUUUAAAGUUUCGACGGUACGGGAUGGGCAUGCGUGACAUUAGCUAGUUGGUAGGGUAACGGCCUACCAAGGCUGCGAUGUCUAGGGGUCCUGAGAGGGUGAUCCCCCACACUGGUACUGAGACACGGACCAGACUCCUACGGGAGGCAGCAGUGAGGAAUAUUGGUCAAUGGACGUAAGUCUGAACCAGCCAUCCCGCGUGCAGGAAGAAGGCGCUAUGCGUCGUAAACUGCUUUUCCAGGGGAAGAAAACCUGAUACGUGUAUCGGCUUGCCGGUACCCUGGGAAUAAGCAUCGGCUAACUCCGUGCCAGCAGCCGCGGUAAUACGGAGGAUGCGAGCGUUAUCCGGAUUUAUUGGGUUUAAAGGGUGCGUAGGCGGAUUAAUAAGUCAGUGGUGAAAACCUUCAGCUUAACUGGAGACUUGCCAUUGAUACUGUUAGUCUUGAGUACGGUCAAGGUAGGCGGAAUGUGUAAUGUAGCGGUGAAAUGCUUAGAUAUUACACAGAACACCGAUUGCGAAGGCAGCUUACUGGGCCAUUACUGACGCUGAUGCACGAAAGCGUGGGGAGCGAACAGGAUUAGAUACCCUGGUAGUCCACGCCGUAAACGAUGAUCACUCGCUGUUAGCGAUACACAGUUAGCGGCUAAGCAAAAGCAUUAAGUGAUCCACCUGGGGAGUACGGCCGCAAGGCU
rnacentral:rRNA from 1 species